AAAAAUGCAGCUGUGUAACUAAACUCAUCUAUUUUAUCCCUAUAGCUUUUUUGCAAGUUUCAAACUUUGAUCUUGUACUUACAUGCAAAAAAAAAAAAAAAAAGCCUUGUAUUUAUGAAGAAUAGUUUUCACCAGUUACAGAUGUUCCUAUUUGAUGACAUGGAUUUAAAUCCAGCAGGAUAGCUGCCAGUUUAGAACUGAAUGCAAAGCUAAGUUUCGAUCAAAAGCUCACCUACACGAGUAUUCCAUCCUGGCUGUGCCAGAGCAGUGUUUAGGAGACAGCAGAGAAGCACACCAUACCCUUAUUGUGUAUGUUUCCUAGCUAAUUUAGAAACUUGAGUGCAAGGGACACAACUAUCUUGCUGCAGACAUCUCUUUCCCAUAAAGAGUUAAGAGACUGAGCCUAUGCUGCAGCUUUCUCAAUCUAGUCUUUCUACUGCCUUCUCCACAAUAAAAUUCAGUAGAAAAUUGUCCAAAAGAAAAAAACAAAACAAAAAAAAAAAAAAAAAAAAAACCCAACAACCCCCAAACAAAACCCCUCGGCACUGAUAUUACUGUUACAAGCAGCUAUUUUUAAACAGCUUACUCAGUUUUAUUAUUCAGGUUUUCUUAAAGCCACAACACAAGGUUUUAAUUAAGCUUUGAAGCCCAGUAAUACUCAAGGAGCACAGCACAGAUGUCAAGUUUAAAUCACAUUUAGGUUUUUACCUCUUGACUUCCUCAAAGUGAAUCUUCUGCUGUGCUUCAUAAUAAAAGUACAGUAAUUACUAUUACAAUUGCUUAUUGAAGCCUAUGGCUGUAGAUACAGUAAUUGUUUCCUGAGCUGAAGCUGAAUAUAGGCAGGUUCCAGCACAUUGCAUGUCUUGUUAUGUGUUCCAAUUGGCUUCAGCUGUUAGGCACUGGUAGGUUUUGCAGAGUGGCUAUAGCUUCUUAUUGGUUUGUAGGUGCUUCUAUACUUGUCAGACGUAUUUCUGAAGAAGAAAGAAAGAAAGUUUUAAGUCCUGCUGUGUAAUUUGUAACUACUAUACAAUUGAAUGUAUAUGAAUUGAUGGGUUGUAAUUGAAACAAUAGUAAUUGCCCUACAGCAGUAAUGUAAUACUAAGCUUUGCCAAAGACAGUCCAAAUUCCACUUGUCUGCCAUGCCCCUGUUCCAGUUGCUGGAUGCGUAGUUUCCAGAUUUUGUAAAUAUAUAUAUAUAUAUGAUGCUGGUUUAUAUAGGGAUAGUAUCAAGUAGCUACAAUCAGCUAUGUUUUAAAGCUGUUUUAGAUCUUUUAAAAGAUUGGUUUAAUUCAUUAAAUAGCAGGUUUGAAUCAUUUACUAGGCCAUAAAGGAAGCUUAGAUUGCACUGGUGGCAGUACAGGAGCGUAAGUGGAAUAACUACGGAGUCCAAAUUUAGAAACAUAGCACAACGCAUUAAAUAGAAGGAAUUAAAGAAGGGUAUCUCGUACAGUCUUAUCGUAGCACUACCUUUCACUUUAACUGCCUCUGAAGUCUUUUUUUUUUUUGAGCUAUUUAGAACUAAAAGGAAGAUUCUCUACCAGAGAAAAGGAUGCACUGCCAGAACAAGAAUGAAGAUUCAGCAGAGACAAAGAUGAAUUACCAGACAAAGGAGGAAGAUUACAUCACUUGAAAUGGGAGAGUGUUACAAAUACAAAAAAGAAUUCGAUCUGACGAGACUAUUGCUAUAGCCAUACAGGCAUCAGACUUAUGGCAUUGUGCUGGAAAAUCACAUUUGACCCUGGAGGUAAGCACUUAAUUUAACAAUCUAUUUCCACAGAGUUGGGUGACACAUUUGAAAAAAAAACACAGUUUAAGUUGUCUGUAUCAGUCCCUCUGGGACCACCCUGCAUUUCCUGGCCUUCUUAGAAG
ensembl:lncRNA